AUUGCGCAUGCGGGCGUGUCUCCCGGGACUCUAGAGCCGGCGGGCACCGGGCCUUUCCGGUAGGUUUGGCGUACGCGGGUUUCUGCAAAUCUGGGGUGUGCUUGCAUGUUACAUCACUGGUGCACCUCUCUUUACUUGCUUAAGAUGCCACCACUUAGGCCUCUGUUGCAGAAAUCGCCAUAGACUGUUUAAAGGCCGCGGAAUCGGGACGACCUUGAUGACUGAUUUGUACACUCCCAGCAGAUUUGCGUUCAGGAGUUGGACGCAGACGUGUGUUGUAGAUUUCUUUUUUUUUUCCCCCCGGCUUUGCACCUACUCUUUGACCCCAUUAGCUCCUCAGGACGAGCCUCCCCAGCCUCAACGGGAAGCCGAGGGGCGAAAACUCAAAGAAGCAAUUAACUCUUUCCUGGUGAGGCUUCCAGAGGAGCAAGAAUAGCGACAUGAUUCCACCCGCAACCCUAUAGAGGAAGGAAGGUGUUUUACUGAGAGAGAAGACAUCUGCCCCCAAGAAACUGAUAGUUUAUGGAGGAAAUGAGACACACACACGAAUUUAUUAAAAGCCCAGGAUCCCUGGGACAGGAAGCAGCAGCAGUUAAACAGUCACACAUCAGUGCUCCAGCAAGUGAACUGAGAGGUACAUCAACUGAGGAGCAGAUCCAGGACCAGAGGACAUAAAAUUAUCUGGGAGCAGGGCCAGGAACGUGCUGGUACAAGCAGAAUAGACAUGGGAAAAGAUUGAGAGUGGGGAGAUCAGUUUGAAGACUUGGAGGAUCCCUUCUCCUUGAGAACCUAAUAAAGGCACUGCUUUCCAACUAGUAGAGCCCAGGUGUCUGGCUUACUACAGAAAGGCAACUUCAAUGUCCCAGGAAGAAACUCUGAGGGUUCCUGCUCGACUCGAGGCUCACACACGUCAUGAGGCACACAGCAGAGGUGCUGACAGAGCCAGAGGACUGGGAUCAAUUACACAGGGAAAGGAGUCACUUGCCCUUGGAAUCUGGCCACAUGUUGUAAGGAAGCCAUGCUACAUGGAGAUGUUACAUACAGAUGUUCCCACUGAUAAUCCCAGCAAAGAUUCCAGGCAACACCCAAUAUCAACUGCCGGUCACAUGAAUAAAUAAACCCUCAGAUGAUUCCAGAUCUUAGCCUUUAAGCUGCCCCAGCUGGUGCCUGGAGUAGAGAUGAACUGUCUCCACUAAGCCCUACCAAAAUUGGAGAUUCGUGAGCAAAAAAAAUUGUUUAAGCCACAGCAACAGUUUAUCAUGCAACCAUAUAACCAGAACUCCAAAAUAUCUGUGGUUCUUGGGAAGAGUCUUCUGGUAAUAUAUGACAUGAAACAAAUUAUUUUUCUCUGUAGACUUUCGUUUCCCCAACUAUAAAAUGGAAUAAUAAUUACUAUGUCAUGGGAAUGUUGUGAGGUUUAAAUAACGCACAUGAGGUGUCCUUUUUAUAAUGGGACUUCAAAAAAUUAUACCUAAUAUUAUUUCAACUAAUUUCUAUCAAGUUUUUCUAGAUUUAUUGCUUUUUAGACACACAAAUAUAAAACCUGAUUUUGUGUACACACACACAGACUUGCUUUGAGGAAAGCCAGCUACCAUGUCCUAGUGAAGAUGCUCAGAUAGUCUUAUAGAGAGAUCUACACAGUGGGAAACAGACCUCUUGCCUAACUUGCUAACCAUGUGCGUGAGCUACCUUGGAAGCUGAUCCUCCAUCUCCAGUCAGCCUUCAGACUGCAGCUGACAUCAUGACUGCAAUCUCUUAAGAGAUUCUAAGCCAGAUGACUCAGCUAAGCCACUCUCGAUUCCCACAGAAACUGCAAAUAAUGUAUGAAAUAAAAUUUUUAAAAUUAU